rnacentral:rRNA from 1 species
AUACGAAAGGUGCAAGCGUUGUUCGGAUUUACUGGGCGUAAAGAGAGUGUAGGUGGUUUAUUAAGUCGGAUGUGAAAUCCCGGGGCUCAACCUCGGAACUGCAUUCGAUACUGGUAGACUAGAGUUCGGGAGGGGUAAGCGGAAUUCCGUGUGUAGCAGUGAAAUGCGUAGAUAUACGGAGGAACACCUGAGGCGAAGGCGGCUUACUGGACCGAUACUGACACUGAGACUCGAAAGCGUGGGUAGCAAACAGGAUUAGAUACCCGAGUAGUCC